UUGCUUCCAUAGCACAUAUAAUAAGAUUGGAACAAUACAGAAAAGAUUAGCACGGCCCCUGCUCAAGGGUGACAUACAAUUUCAUGAAGCAUUCCAUAUUAAA
ensembl:snRNA U6 U6 spliceosomal RNA